rnacentral:lncRNA from 1 species
GCGGGUCAUGCACCCGUGGUGGCUUGUGAUACUUGGGCUCUCCCACCCUGCCACACUCACGAGGUUAGUCUGUUCCGUGCCCUGGAGUAUAUAAGUCUCAAAGACUAAGACCUCUUGUUACUCCUCACCACAUGGUUCAAUCCUCUCUACGUGAGAAGAAGGAUCAUUGGAACGUCAGGAAGACCCCCAAUGUACUUUGAAACUACCACAAUCAACCUUGAAAUCAUGUUUCAUUCUCU